rnacentral:rRNA from 1 species
CUGAACUUAAGCAUAUCAUAAGCGGAGGA